rnacentral:rRNA from 1 species
UCGAACGAGUUCUCGUUGAUGAUCGGUGCUUGCACCGAGAUUCAACAUGGAACGAGUGGCGGACGGGUGAGUAACACGUGGGUAACCUGCCCUUAAGUGGGGGAUAACAUUUGGAAACAGAUGCUAAUACCGCAUAGAUCCAAGAACCGCAUGGUUCUUGGCUGAAAGAUGGCGUAAGCUAUCGCUUUUGGAUGGACCCGCGGCGUAUUAGCUAGUUGGUGAGGUAAUGGCUCACCAAGGCGAUGAUACGUAGCCGAACUGAGAGGUUGAUCGGCCACAUUGGGACUGAGACACGGCCCAAACUCCUACGGGAGGCAGCAGUAGGGAAUCUUCCACAAUGGACGCAAGUCUGAUGGAGCAACGCCGCGUGAGUGAAGAAGGCUUUCGGGUCGUAAAACUCUGUUGUUGGAGAAGAAUGGUCGGCAGAGUAACUGUUGUCGGCGUGACGGUAUCCAACCAGAAAGCCACGGCUAACUACGUGCCAGCAGCCGCGGUAAUACGUAGGUGGCAAGCGUUAUCCGGAUUUAUUGGGCGUAAAGCGAGCGCAGGCGGUUUUUUAAGUCUGAUGUGAAAGCCCUCGGCUUAACCGAGGAAGCGCAUCGGAAACUGGGAAACUUGAGUGCAGAAGAGGACAGUGGAACUCCAUGUGUAGCGGUGAAAUGCGUAGAUAUAUGGAAGAACACCAGUGGCGAAGGCGGCUGUCUGGUCUGUAACUGACGCUGAGGCUCGAAAGCAUGGGUAGCGAACGGGAUUAGAUACCCUGGUAGUCCAUGCCGUAAACGAUGAAUGCUAGGUGUUGGAGGGUUUCCGCCCUUCAGUGCCGCAGCUAACGCAUUAAGCAUUCCGCCUGGGGAGUACGACCGCAAGGUUGAAAC